rnacentral:rRNA from 1 species
UCGCCGAAAGUCCAAGGGUUCCUGCUUAAAGCUAAUCUGAGCAGGGUAAGCCGACCCCUAAGUCGAGGCCGAAGGGCGUAGACGAUGGGAACCAGGUUAAUAUUCCUGGGCCAGGAGAUGGUGACGGAUUGUGAAGGUUGUUCCUCCUUAUUGGAUUGGAGGGGCCGCUGAUCAGUCCCUGGAAAUAGCCCUCCAUAAGAUCGUACCCUAAACCGACACAGGUGGACUGGUAGAGAAUACCAAGGCGCUUGAGAGAACUACAUUGAAGGAACUCGGCAAAAUACCUCCGUAAGUUCGCGAGAAGGAGGCCCAGUUUCUACGCAAGUAUUGGCUGGGGGCACAAACCAGGGGGUGGCGACUGUUUACUAAAAACACAGGGCUCUGCGAAGUCGUAAGACGACGUAUAGGGUCUGACGCCUGCCCGGUGCUGGAAGGUUAAGAGGAGGUGUGCAAGCACUGAAUUGAAGCCCCAGUAAACGGCGGCCGUAACUAUAACGGUCCUAAGGUAGCGAAAUUCCUUGUCGGGUAAGUUCCGACCUGCACGAAUGGCGUAACGACUUCCCCGCUGUCUCCAACAUAGACUCAGUGAAAUUGAAUUGCCUGUCAAGAUGCAGGCUUCCCGCGGUUAGACGGAAAGACCCCGUGCACCUUUACUACAGCUUCACACUGGCAUUAGGUCAGACGUGUGCAGGAUAGGUGGUAGGCUUUGAAACUCGGACGCCAGUUCGGGUGGAGCCUUCCUUGAGAUACCACCCCUGUCUGUCUUGAUGUCUAACCGCGGUCCGUUAUCCGGAUCCGGGACCCUGUGUGGCGGGUAGUUUGACUGGGGCGGUCGCCUCCUAAAGAGUAACGGAGGCGCGCGAAGGUUGGCUCAGAGCGGUCGGAAAUCGCUCGUUGAGUGCAAUGGCAGAAGCCAGCCUGACUGCGAGACUGACAAGUCGAGCAGAGUCGAAAGACGGCCAUAGUGAUCCGGUGGUUCUGAGUGGAAGGGCCAUCGCUCAACGGAUAAAAGGUACGCCGGGGAUAACAGGCUGAUACCGCCCAAGAGUUCAUAUCGACGGCGGUGUUUGGC